rnacentral:misc_RNA from 1 species
UGGGUUCUUUGAAACAUUAUGAAUAUCAUAAUUCUGGUAGUCAUACCCAAUAGGAGGAGGGACUUGGCUGAACACAUGGUUCAUUUUGAGCUUCAGUGCUACAAGGUAAGGGGUGUGUGGGAGGUUGAAGGAGACAUUAUUCACUGACCAUCUAACAUAACCGUUCACAUGAUUUUGUGUGUUGAGCAUUACUAUAGUUGUAUCUGCGGUUUGGGGAGGUGUGUGGAUGUGAUCUUUAUGAGCUUUAAGGGCUAGACUUUGAGCAAACCUUGGUUCAACAUCAUCCCAUACAGGGCCAGAUGGUGGAGUAUUAGAAAGAAAUCUCCGGGGAUGGUUUGGAUAGUAGUUAAAGAUGGCUUGGCCUGGUGGGGUUGAUGGUUUUCUACUAACAACGUUGGUGGUCAUCCAAUAGUUUCUGGAGGGAUCUUUGUCAGCUUUUACUAAAACAGAGUAUGUCUCACCAGAGUAUAUGAACAGGUUUUGAACUACAAAUGGUUGAACGUAGUGCCCAUCUGCUUCUACAACAGUCAUAUUAUGUCCCUCAAUUUGGAAACUAAGGGCUGAUAAGGCUGUCAAGCUAGAAACCCUGAGCCUAUAUGUCUUUCCAGGGACAAUCGUCAUCGCAUAAGGAGAGCAUUCAGGAUUUGAAGCAUUGCAAACACCAGCUGGUAUGCCUGGAGUUGAGCAGUCGAAUUUUCCUUUUCCUUGUAUCAAGAGUGAGUGAGGCUCCCCAACCCAAACAAAGGGAUUAGAAGAUAAUCCUACUGAUUGUUCGUAAGUGCUAUUAUGGUACCAAUCAGUAAGGAUGAUACUUCGAUCAUAAUCAUACGCAAAAGGCUCAGAUUCUCCGUCAGGUAGUGAUACACGGAUUGAUCCAUAAAGCCCUGCCUCUCUCUGCAUUCCAUAAUGGGCAUGGUACAGGUAUGUUCCAGGCCUGUCAACAACAAACUGAUAUUUGAAGGUAUCUCCAGGAACAACUGGACACUGAGUAACCCCUUCUGUUCCAUCAAACCAAGGUGUUCCAAUCUGUCUAAUCCCAUGCCAAUGGAUUGCGAGAUUCUCAGUUAACAAACUGUUCUUAACUUCGACGAUGAUGGUAUCAUUUUGCUUUGCCAGGAUUGUGGGUCCUGGACUUUUGCCAUUAAUAGUAAUAACCAACUUCUUAUAGCAAUCAGGAGACUUGAACUCAUACUUGACGUCCCAUUUGUGAUAAUGAACCGUGGCCUCAGCGACUGGUAUACUUAUAAAAGAAAGGAAUAAGAAGAAGAAGGAGAAAGCCAACAAAUUUGAAGCAAUUCUCAUGCUAUGUGAAGGCUUAACCAUGCCACCAAAUCUGUCGAGCUGAUAAGAAAUUGAUAUGAAUUAAUAGUGUGUGGCUAUUCCAAUUCAA